GAUGAACGCUGGCGGCGUGCCUAAUACAUGCAAGUCGAGCGAACAGAUGAGGAGCUUGCUCCUCUGACGUUAGCGGCGGACGGGUGAGUAACACGUGGAUAACCUACCUAUAAGACUGGGAUAACUUCGGGAAACCGGAGCUAAUACCGGAUAAUAUAUUGAACCGCAUGGUUCAAUAGUGAAAGACGGUUUUGCUGUCACUUAUAGAUGGAUCCGCGCCGCAUUAGCUAGUUGGUAAGGUAACGGCUUACCAAGGCAACGAUGCGUAGCCGACCUGAGAGGGUGAUCGGCCACCCUGGAACUGAGACACGGUCCAGACUCCUACGGGAGGCAGCAGUAGGGAAUCUUCCGCAAUGGGCGAAAGCCUGCCGGAGCAACGCCGCGUGAGUGAUGACGGUCUUCGGAUCGUAAAACUCUGUUAUUAGGGAAGAACAAAUGUGUAAGUAACUAUGCACGUCUUGACGGUACCUAAUCAGAAAGCCACGGCUAACUACGUG
rnacentral:rRNA from 1 species